UACGGAGGGUGCGAGCGUUGUCCGGAUUUAUUGGGUUUAAAGGGUGCGUAGGUGGCCCUGUAAGUCAGUGGUGAAAUACAGCCGCUUAACGGUUGAGGUGCCAUUGAUACUGCAGGGCUUGAAACAAGUGGAGGCUGCCGGAAUGGAUGGUGUAGCGGUGAAAUGCAUAGAUAUCAUCCAGAACACCGAUUGCGAAGGCAGGUGGCUACGUUUUGAUUUGACACUGAGGCACGAAAGCAUGGGGAGCAAACAGG
rnacentral:rRNA from 1 species